UGAACGCUGGCGGCGUGCUUAACACAUGCAAGUCGAACGACGCACUUUAUUUGAUUUCCUUCGGGACUGAUUCUUUUGUGACUGAGUGGCGGACGGGUGAGUAACGCGUGGGUAACCUGCCUUGUACAGGGGGAUAACAGUUGGAAACGGCUGCUAAUACCGCAUAAGCGCACAGCAUCGCAUGAUGCAGUGUGAAAAACUCCGGUGGUAUAAGAUGGACCCGCGUUGGAUUAGCUAGUUGGUGAGGUAACGGCCCACCAAGGCGACGAUCCAUAGCCGACCUGAGAGGGUGACCGGCCACAUUGGGACUGAGACACGGCCCAAACUCCUACGGGAGGCAGCAGUGGGGAAUAUUGCACAAUGGGCGAAAGCCUGAUGCAGCGACGCCGCGUGAGCGAAGAAGUAUUUCGGUAUGUAAAGCUCUAUCAGCAGGGAAGAUAAUGACGGUACCUGACUAAGAAGCACCGGCUAAAUACGUG
rnacentral:rRNA from 1 species